UGGGGAAUAUUGCACAAUGGGCGCAAGCCUGAUGCAGCCAUGCCGCGUGUAUGAAGAAGGCCUUCGGGUUGUAAAGUACUUUCAGCGGGGAGGAAGGCGAUAAGGUUAAUAACCUUGUCGAUUGACGUUACCCGCAGAAGAAGCACCGGCUAACUCCGUGCCAGCAGCCGCGGUAAUACGGAGGGUGCAAGCGUUAAUCGGAAUUACUGGGCGUAAAGCGCACGCAGGCGGUCUGUCAAGUCGGAGGUGAAAUCCCCGGGCUCAACCUGGGAACUGCAUUCGAAACGGGCAGGCUAGAGUCUUGUAGAGGGGGGUAGAAUUCCAGGUGUAGCGGUGAAAUGCGUAGAGAUCUGGAGGAAUACCGGUGGCGAAGGCGGCCCCCUGGACAAAGACUGACGCUCAGGUGCGAAAGCGUGGGGAGCAAACA
rnacentral:rRNA from 1 species